rnacentral:tRNA from 1 species
GGGGAUGUAGCUCAGAUGGUAGAGCGCUCGCUUAGCAAGCGAGAGGUACGGGUAUCCAUACCCCGCAUCUCCA